rnacentral:lncRNA from 1 species
UUAUCUUUCCACUUGCAACAUUUAUGACACUGUCAUCACAGGAAAUCUGUAGAAUAUAGAUCAUGAAUUGAUUCCAAGAGCUUAGGCACUGUUUUCUUUGGAUCCACAUUAGUAGCAGCUUCGAAGGCUUUCAUAGAAGAUUUGUAAAUGGUUGGUGAGUGAGAAAUGAUACAUUCAUUCACGUGAUUAAUUUGUUUGAGAGGUUUAAGCAUUUCAAAACAUAUGAUAAUCUGUUUGGGACUUUCUUUCUUGAAUAUGCAAGUAAUCUAUUAUUUUCUUGCCACACUAAGACCAGGGAUUAAUGGGUAUAGAUUGCCAUUCAUAAAAAAAUGUGAGGACUCACGUUUUGACUCUAACAACCUUGUGAGCAUAAUUCAUUCCCUAAUCUAAUCCGAAACACAAAGUUCAG